AUUGAACGCUGGCGGCAGGCCUAACACAUGCAAGUCGAACGGUAACAGGAAGAAGCUUGCUUCUUUGCUGACGAGUGGCGGACGGGUGAGUAAUGUCUGGGAAACUUCCUGAUGGAGGGGGAUAACUACUUGAAACGGUAGCUAAUACCGCAUAACGUCGCAAGACCAAAAAGGGGGACCUUCGGGCCUCUUGCCAUCGGAUGUGCCCAGAUGGGAUUAGCUAGUAGGUGGGGUAACGGCUCACCUAGGCGACGAUCCCUAGCUGGUCUGAGAGGAUGACCAGCCACACUGGAACUGAGACACGGUCCAGACUCCUACGGGAGGCAGCAGUGGGGAAUAUUGCACAAUGGGCGCAAGCCUGAUGCAGCCAUGCCGCGUGUAUGAAGAAGGCCUUCGGGUUGUAAAGUACUUUCGGCGGGGAGGAAGGGAGUAAAGUUAAUACCUUUGCUCAUUGACGUUACCCGCAGAAGAAGCACCGGCUAACUCCGUG
rnacentral:rRNA from 1 species